GAAUUCGCCCUUAGAGUUUGAUCCUGGCUCAGAUUGAACGCUGGCGGCAUGCUUUACACAUGCAAGUCGAACGGCAGCACGGGCUUCGGCCUGGUGGCGAGUGGCGAACGGGUGAGUAAUACAUCGGAACGUACCCAGAAGUGGGGGAUAACGUAGCGAAAGUUACGCUAAUACCGCAUACGAUCUACGGAUGAAAGUGGGGGAUCGCAAGACCUCAUGCUUUUGGAGCGGCCGAUGUCUGAUUAGCUAGUUGGUGAGGUAAAGGCUCACCAAGGCGACGAUCAGUAGCUGGUCUGAGAGGACGACCAGCCACACUGGAACUGAGACACGGUCCAGACUCCUACGGGAGGCAGCAGUGGGGAAUUUUGGACAAUGGGCGCAAGCCUGAUCCAGCAAUGCCGCGUGAGUGAAGAAGGCCUUCGGGUUGUAAAGCUCUUUUGUCAGGGAAGAAACGGCCGAGGCUAAUACCUUUGGCUAAUGACGGUACCUGAAGAAUAAGCACCGGCUAACUACGUGCCAGCAGCCGCGGUAAUACGUAGGGUGCAAGCGUUAAUCGGAAUUACUGGGCGUAAAGCGUGCGCAGGCGGUUUUGUAAGUCUGUCGUGAAAGCCCCGGGCUCAACCUGGGAAUUGCGAUGGAGACUGCAAGGCUUGAAUCUGGCAGAGGGGGGUAGAAUUCCACGUGUAGCAGUGAAAUGCGUAGAGAUGUGGAGGAACACCGAUGGCGAAGGCAGCCCCCUGGGUCAAGAUUGACGCUCAUGCACGAAAGCGUGGGGAGCAAACAGGAUUAGAUACCCUGGUAGUCCACGCCCUAAACGAUGUCUACUAGUUGUCGGGUUUUAAUUAACUUGGUAACGCAGCUAACGCGUGAAGUAGACCGCCUGGGGAGUACGGUCGCAAGAUUAAAACUCAAAGGAAUUGACGGGGGCAAGGGCGAAUUC
rnacentral:rRNA from 1 species